rnacentral:hammerhead_ribozyme from 1 species
AUAUAGCUGACGAGUCCCAAAUAAGAUGAAACAUAUGUCUUGGAU